rnacentral:rRNA from 1 species
GUGUCAGCAGCCGCGGUAAGACGAACCGUACAAACGUUAUUCGGAAUCACUGGGUUUAAAGGGUGCGUAGGCGGCUUGGCAAGUUGGGUGUGAAAUCCCUCGGCUCAACCGAGGAACUGCGCUCAAAACUGCCAGGCUAGAGGGAGAUAGAGGUGAGCGGAACUUAGGGUGGAGCGGUGAAAUGCGUUGAUAUCCUAAGGAACACCAGUGGCGAAAGCGGCUCACUGGAUCUCUUCUGACGCUCGGGCACGAAAGCUAGGGUAGCGAACGGGAUUAGAUACCCCGGUAGUCCUAGCUGUAAACGAUGAGCACUGGGUUGGAGGGCCCUCCAUAGCCUUCCGGCCGUAGCGAAAGUGUUAAGUGCUCCACCUGGGGAGUAUGGUCGCAAGGCUGAAACUCAAAGGAAUUGACGGGGGCUCACACAAGCGGUGGAGGAUGUGGCUUAAUUCGAGGCUACGCGAAGAACCUUAUCCUGGUCUUGACAUGCAUGGAUUAACCCCGUGAAAGCGGGGCCACGCCCUUUGGGUGGAACUUGCACAGGUGCUGCAUGGCUGUCGUCAGCUCGUGUCGUGAGAUGUCGGGUUAAGUCCCUUAACGAGCGAAACCCUUGUCCUUAGUUGCCAGCACGUAAUGGUGGGGACUCUAGGGAGACUGCCGGUGUUAAACCGGAGGAAGGUGGGGAUGACGUCAAGUCCUCAUGGCCUUUAUGACCAGGGCUGCACACGUCCUACAAUGGCACGCACAAAGGGAAGCAAACUCGCGAGAGUGAGCAAAUCCCAAAAAUCGUGCCCCAGUUCGGAUUGCAGGCUGCAACUCGCCUGCAUGAAGCCGGAAUCGCUAGUAAUCGCGGGUCAGCAUACCGCGGUGAAUGUGUUCCUGAGCCUUGCACACACCGCCCGUC